UACGUAGGGGGCAAGCGUUGUCCGGAAUCAUUGGGCGUAAAGAGCGUGUAGGCGGCCCGGUAAGUCCGCUGUGAAAGUCCAGGGCUCAACCCUGGGAUGCCGGUGGAUACUGUCGGGCUCGAGUCCGGAAGAGGAGUGUGGAAUUCCUGGUGUAGCGGUGAAAUGCGUAGAGAUCGGGAGGAACACCGGUGGCGAAGGCGGAUCUCUGGGCCAUUACUGACGCUGAGGAGCGAAAGCGUGGGGAGCGAACAGG
rnacentral:rRNA from 1 species